AGACCAAUCACGCGGAGUUCUUAAUCAUGUGAAAAUAUUUUAUUUUGACGUGCUUUUUCUUGAGUGCCUGAAUGUGGUGGCUCUUAGGGUAACCCCAGAAUCCUCACUGCGGCAACAAGACCUGGCCACCACCCUCACCUCGACCACCACGGCCUUCGCUGCAGCCCCACUCUGACUCCCCGGGGGCUGCUCACGUGCCAGCACCCACUGGCCAAGCAUCCUCCGGCAGGACCCAAGUCCUCUGUAUUCAGAGGCCGACCCUGCUUUCCAGAGACUCACGAGGUGGCAGAGAGUCAGGCUGUGGCAGGGGCCCCUGUGUAUCGAGGAGAGGAGGAAGAGUCUGCAGAGGUUUCUAGGGAAGGAGAUAGUGUGGAAGUGACUGUGGCUCUGGUCCUGCCUGGGAGGAGAUCUACAGGGGAGGGGCCUGGCCUUGGGCUGGCCCUGCCCUGCGUGGGAUCUGUGCCCUGCGUGGGAUCCCUGCCCUGUGUGGGGUGCGUGGGGUCUGUGCCCUGUGUGGGGUGCCUGCCCUGUGUGGGGUGUGUGGGGUCUGUGCCCUGUGUGGGGUGCCUGCCCUGUGUGGGAUGCAUGGGGUCUGUGCCCUGUGUGAGGUGCCUGCCCUGUGUGGGGUGUGUGGGGUCUGUGCCCUGUGUGGGGUGCGUGGGGUCUGUGCCCUGUGUGGGGUGCCUGCCCUGUGUGGGGUGCGUGGGGUCUGUGCCCUGUGUGGGAUGCCUGCCCUGUGUGGGGUGCCUGCCCUGUGUGGGAUGCGUGGGGUCUGUGCCUUGUGUGGGGUGCCUGCCCUGUGUGGGGUGCGUGGGGUCUGUGCCCUGUGUGGGGUACCUGCCCUGUGUGGGCUGCGUGGGGUCUGUGCCCUGUGUGGGGUGCCUGCCCUGUGUGGGGUGUGUGGGGUCUGUACCCUGUGUGGGGUGCGUGGGGUCUGUGCCCUGUGUGGGGUGCCUGCCCUGUGUGUGGUGCAUGGGGUCUGUGCCCUGUGUGAGGUGCCUGCCCUGUGUGGGGUGUGUGGGGUCUGUGCCCUGUGUGGGGUGCCUGCCCUGUGUGGGAUGCGUGGGGUCUGUGCCCUGUGUGAGGUGCCUGCCCUGUGUGGGGUGCGUGGGGUCUGUGCCCUGUGUGGGGUGCCUGCCCUGUGUGGGGUGCGUGCGGUCUGUGCCCUGUGUGGGGUGCCUGCCCUGUGUGGGGUGCGUGGGGUCUGUGCCCUGUGUGGGGUGCCUGCCCUGUGUGGGGUGUGUGGGGUCUGUGCCCUGUGUGGGGUGCCUGACCUGUGUGGGGUGCGUGGGGUCUGCUACACGCUUGGUGAGAAACUGCAUCAGGGCUUCCCGCCGUGUGUUGCUAACAUCCCCACACACGUGAGUGCCUUGGGACCCUCGUCAACACACUGAGCUGAGGCCACUGGUCCACGGCACACUGCAGUGCACAUGCCCUUCCUGGCCAGAGGCUCCCAGGGGCGCCAUGCUCUCCAGGCACCUGCCCCGCCUGCGAGCACAGCCUGGCCCCUGCUGCACUCUGCUCUCUCUGCCCGCUCGGGUCCACUGCAGCUGAGCGGGUGGGAGAAGCCUCUUCAACUUCACACACUUGUCGCCUCUAGCACUGGGCAAGGUCUGGCAUUCAGAGUUCCAAGAAGUCCCACAGAUACCAGUGGCUAAGUCUGUCUUCCCUCCAGGAAUGGGGAAGCAGGAGCCGUCAGAACAGCCGUCUCCUAUCUGAGGCACCAGGAACAAACAUGACGUCAGGAAAAGACUGAAGGUGCCAAGCACCUAACGCUGAAGGAACCAGCAUGUGCCUGGCAGCACUGCAGAGAGCACACCCCAGGCACCAGAGACCAGGGUGUCAUUCACAGGUCAAAGCAAAAUAAGAAAAUCAUAAUUUUUCCCCUUGUUCCAAAGAAACAUCCACGUGCAGAGGGCAGGCAGCUUCGGCCCAUGGCGCUCCUGACGAGGGCUCCCUCGUGGCUGCCCCAGGACAAGCAGGACCCCGGCG
rnacentral:lncRNA from 1 species